CCUACGGGUGGCAGCAGUGAGGAAUAUUGGUCAAUGGGCGCUAGCCUGAACCAGCCAAGUAGCGUGAAGGAUGACUGCCCUAUGGGUUGUAAACUGCUUGUAUAUGGGAAUAAAGUGCAGUAUGUAUACUGCUUUGCAUGUACCUUAUGAAAAAGGAUCGGCUAACCUCGUGCCAGCAGCCGCGGUAAUACGGAGGAGCAGAGCGUUAUCCGGAUUUAUUGGGGUUAAAGGGAGCGUAGGCGGGGUUUUAAGGCAGUUGUGAAAGUUUGCGGCUCAACCGUAAAAUUGCAGUUGAUACUGGCAUCCUUGAGUACAGUAGAGGUAGGCGGAAUUCGUGGUGUAGCGGUGAAAUGCUUAGAUAUCACGAAGAACUCCGAUUGCGAAGGCAGCCUGCUGGACUGUAACUGACGCUGAUGCUCGAAAGUGUGGGUAUCAAACAGGAUUAGAUACCCUUGUAGUC
rnacentral:rRNA from 1 species